rnacentral:rRNA from 1 species
UACGUAGGUGGCGAGCGUUGUCCGGAUUUACUGGGCGUAAAGCGUGCGUAGACGGUUAUGUAAGUCGGGUGUGAAAGCCCCGGGCUCAACCUGGGAAUUGCAUUCGAGACUGCAUAGCUAGGAUGCGGAAGAGGGAAGCGGAAUUUCCGGUGUAGCGGUGAAAUGCGUAGAUAUCGGAAGGAACACCAGUGGCGAAAGCGGCUUCCUGGUCCAGCAUCGACGUUCAGGCACGAAAGCGUGGGGAGCAAACAGG